UGAAUUUGAAAUUGAAUUACCAAACCCUAACAGCCUCACACCAGCUGCUGGCGCCGCUGCCCACCCCCAAUCUCUCAUCUCUCUCUCUCGGCUGGCCGGUGACACGCACUCCGGCACUCGACGCGACGGCGGCUCGGCCUUUCCGGCGAAGGUCCGGACAGCUUAACAGCAGCAGUAGUGCAACACGCACGGUUCAGUGCGAUUCUGCGCUGCACGAGCAGCACGACCUCCAUCCACCAUUCCUGCCGUUUCUUCUCGCCACCAGACACCUUUCUACCGUCGCCCACUGUCAUCUCCGUUCACUCUGCUCAUCUGGAUCGAGCUUGCUCCUCCGACUGCCAUCUCCCAGCCCACCGCGACAGCAGCAGCGACGCCGCGACGGCUCUGCCCUCCUCGACGCGACAGUAGCAGCAGUGCAGCAGGUUUUAUUUUCUAAAUUUUGGUUGUGGUUUCUGUUUUUUGUUGGAUUCAUGUCCAAAUAGAUAGAAAUCUUAGUUUCUGGUUUUUUUUGCUGCUAAUUCUGGUUGUUUGUUGGUUUUGGUUGUUUGUUUAAAAUUGCUGCAUUAUUGUUUUGCUGCUAAUUCUGCACUAAAUCUUAGUCUCAUGUUAGUGAUUGUUGUUGUUGUCUGCUGAACUUCAUUGAACUUCAUUGAACUUCAUUAGUCUCAUGUUUUGAAGUUAGUCUCAUGUUUUGAAGUUAGUCUCAUGUUGUUGUUGUUAGUCUCAUGUUUUGAAGUUAGCAUUAUUUGUUGCUGUCUGCUGAACUUCAUUGAACUUCAUUGCUGUUGUUGGUUGUGUGCAGUCCUUAACUUCAUUUAGAACAUAUAAAUGUGUCAAUUGCUCUAAAUCAAUCUAAUAAGGUUAACUCUUUCAGUUGAUAAUGGCAUUCUCCCCUCCUGAAGUCUCCUCAACAAUGCCCAAUGCAAUAAUAUCUCAAAACUCCAUUGACAAUCAACAUUCAACGGAUGAUCAUAUUGUUACAAAUACUGACAUUCAAGGUGGAAGUGGAGAUGGUGAAACAGGUGGAAGUGCAGAUGGUGAAACAGGUGGAAGUGCAGAUGGUGAAACAGGUGGGAGUGCAGAUGGUGAAACAGGAGGAGCAGAAGAUGAUUUGCACUUUCAGCCGAAGAAGAGACAAAAGACUUCGAAAGUUUGGUUGGAGUUCAAUGUAAUUGAUGCUGUCAAUAAAGCCGAGUGCAAGCAUUGCAAAUCUAGACUAUCGAUUUUGAAGAGCAAGAGUACUACCCACCUCUCAAGACACUUGGCUUGUUGUUUGAAGCGAAAGCUAAAUCAGAAGCAACAACAGAAGAUUUCAUUGGAGCCUAUCAAUGAAAAUAGUGUUUCCAUGGCUUCCAUUGCUCUCACAGAUGGCAAAUUUGACAUGAGAAAAAUGAGGGAGGCAAUUGCUCAUUGGAUACUUAUGCACGAGCAUCCAUUUACAAUUGUUGAAGAAGAAGGAUUUAAUAUGAUGCAGAAACGUGCAGCAUUGGAUAGGGAAAAGGUAUCACGCAAUACAAUCAAGAAAGAUUGUAACUCAAGUGUAUGAUAUUGAGAGGAAGAAGCUGAUGGCACAACUAAAGAACAUCAACAAGAUUAGUGUGACUACCGAUUUGUGGAGAUCAACGAAUCAGAAGAUCGAAUACAUGGUACUUACUGGACAUUUUGUUGACUCUUGCUGGAAAUUGCAAAAAAGAGUUCUUAGUUUUGUUCAUCUACCACCUCCUCAUCGUGGUGUUGAGAUAGCGGAUAAUCUUUACAAGUGUAUGAAAGAUUGGGGUAUUGAAAAUAAAGUGUUCACCAUUUCAGUCGACAAUGCUUCAAACAACGAUGUGGCAAUUCGCAUAUUGGCUGACACUUUCUCAAGAAACAAGAAGUUGUUAUGUGGAGGUAAACUGUUCCAUGUGCGGUGUUGUGCACACAUCCUGAACCUUAUGGUUCAGGAGGGACUUUCAAGGAUUGCUUACAUUAUUGAAGACAUACAUGAAAGUGUGCUCUUCAUCAAUUACAAUGAGGCAAGACUUCGAGCAUUCUCUGAAAUUGUGCAGCAGUUACAACUACCACAUCGGAAGCUUGUUCUCGAGUGCAAAACAAGAUGGAAUUCCACAUAUGAAAUGCUGUCAUCUGCCAUCUUGUUCAAAGAGGUGUUCCCAAGAUAUCAAGAUAGAGAGCCACGAUAUACUUGUUGUCCAAGCAAUGAAGACUGGGUGAUGGUUGAAAAGGUGUGUACCAUAUUAGAAGUAUUUGAUUCAGCCACUCGUAUCAUAUCUGGGAGUGAGNAUCUAUUUGUAAUAUAUAUAACGGUAUUAGUGAACCGUUAAGCCAUACGUUAUCUAUGAGCGUCUAGUUUAUGACGGUUGUUUAUGCGUUAAGACAAACGUUAUAUAUGAGCGUCAUUUAUCACGGUUGUUUCAAUUGUUAUGACAACUGUUAUGUAUGAAUAUAUUUCUUUUCAUUUUUUAUUUAUCAAGUUAUGUUUUAAAAAUUUUAUAUAUCUAUUUAAAAAAAAAAAUUCGACCUAAAAAUUAAAAAAAUUAUUUUUAAUUAGUAUUUAAUUAAAUGAUUUUAAUUAUUAAAAAUAAAUUGAAAAUAAAAUAAUUUAAAAAACACUACGCCUGAUAAAAUACAAUUACAAUUAGAAAAAUAUAAAAAUCCAAGAAGACAAAAAUAUUUAACUCCAAUUUCCUCCCACCCUCAAAACCCUAGCCGUUCUCUCUUCCCCUCAAACUCGUCGUCUCUCUCGCACUCUCUCUCUCUCCCUCACAAUCGCACACCGUCCAUUCCUCACAGCCGCCGUCCUCCUCCGCCCGUCCUCCACGGCGAGCCGCGGUCUCUAGUUGAGGAGAUUUCCAGAGGUUAGCAACGACGAAGGAGCCUGAGGCGAGCCGUGGCCCUCAAUUCCGGCCAUCUGUCGUCGUACUUCCAGCCGGCCAUUCUUCACAGGAGAAUCGAGAUUUAAAGCUGUUGUUGAAAAUCCACUGCAAUAAGGUGAAAAUUUAUAACUUUAUCCUUGCCUCUAUAAAAUAGUCGAGAUUAGUGGAUAGAAAAAAUGGUGAAUUGAUUUCUAUGUUGUGUGUAUUUUCUCGAAACAAAAAGUUUACAUACUUGUUUUCAUUUCACCGAUUUCAGUAAUCACCCAGGCAAUUCUGAUUCAAAUUUUGAUUGUGAUUGCACUUUGCCAUUCUAUGGUGUCUGAUGAGGUAGUACUCUGUCAUCUCCUUCUGAAUUCAAUUAUUUUCUUUGGCUCUUUUGGCAGGCUGCAGUAGCAGAGUCUUCUUAGUUGUAAAUGAACAACAACGUUAACAUUUUUUGAUUUGCAAAAGCUACUGCACUUGAAGGCCAUAGCCAUAGAAUAUAAUAUGAAUGUUGUGCUUCAAUAAUGUUUCUUCUCUUUCGUUCCUAUAGAUUUAUGAAUAUUUGGGAUCAGUUUAAUUAAUUUCUACACUAUUUGCUCUACAAGUUCAGGCUAUGUAUUUCAAUCACUUUACUCAUUUUUGGUAUAGCUUUCUGUUUGAUAAAAAAAAGUGAAGUUGUAUAAGUUUAGUUGCGGUGAAGAAUAGAAGUUGCAUGCCAAGAAACCUACACUUAUUCUUAUUGUGGAUGUUCUUUUCCUCUAGAACUCAUGUUUCUGAAAUUAUGUCUUGCGAAUACUAAUUGACUGACAAAAUUGCUAUGUAGAGACAUAUUGUGAACUUAUUGUGAUGGUUUGUAUUAAAAAGUUAAAUAUGCUUCUCAAUCAAUAUUCACAAAACUUGCAGAAGAGUGUAAGUAAUUAAGACAAUUGUUCAUUUAUCUGGCCUUCUUUUUGAAUAAAUCUUUGGCAAUCUGAUCAUAUAUUCUUCAACAUUUGGCAGCAGGAGAUCGAGCAACAUCACAACAACCAGUGCCUUCGAGCAAAGGUUGGUAAUAAUGAUAAAGUUGGUUGCUCUCAUGUCUAAGUGUUAACUUGAGUUGUGUUGGACUACAAUCUAGACUGAAAUAGUCACCGGGAAGAUGUUUGCAUCAGUUGCACAAUAUGUGCUGGGGUUAAAUAUUAUAUCUAUGUAAUUUGAUAUUGUGUGGAUCAGGUGAUACAGUUUGACAUUUUUGCAUUUGACUUCUAAAUAAUUAGAUUGGCAGUGUUUGUUAUAUAUAGACAACACUGAGCAAUAAACUAAUAUGAUUGGAGGAGGCUAGAUGGAUGAGUUAUCUGUGGGUUUUCAGUGCUUGGGCCUAAAUAACUGAUGGUUGUUUAUAUAUAGAUGCUUACAAUCAUGUGAAAUAUAAUCCACAAGGAUAUAUAUAUAUAUAUAUAUAUAUAUAUAUAUAUAUAUAUNUAAAUCAAUUAAUUGCUAUUUCAAUAAUUGAAAAUUCGAAUGUUUUCAGCUUAUAUUUUUAUUAUAUAUUAUAUUUUAAUAUACUACUUUAGUAGUAUAUAUAUAUAUAUAUAUAUAUAUAUAUAUAUAUAUAUAUAUAUAUAGGGGUUGAGUUCAACAGAGAAUUAUCUUUUUAUUCAUCAUGAACAAAUCUAUAUAUUUUACGAACAGAUCAACAUAACUGACGAAUAGACGUAUUUAGUAAAAAUAUAGAAAAACUCGCCACCAGCAGGAUUCGAACCCGGGGCAAAUUGUUGUUCAUGCGGUACAUUGAUCUGUUCAUUAAAAUUAUAGAUCUGUUCGUUUUUAUUUUACGAAUUCUCUAUUCUCCACAAUAUUUAGCUUCUCUGUUGAACCCUUUCUCUCUAUAUAUAUAUAUAUAUAUAUGUGUGUGUGUGUGUGUGUGUGUGUGUGUAGUUCAUUCUUUCUUUAAAAAAAAUUGCAUUGACGUUUUUCAUGCUCUUAGAUUUUGUUCCUGGGAAGGUGAAGGCUGAGGAAGCUUUACCACAAGUAGCAGAGGCUGAGAAAUAAUAAGGAUUGAUUAUACAUUUGCUGAGUGGCUUGAAGAAUUUCAAAAGAUCACAUUGUGAUUAUAUAUUUUUUUGUUAUUUUUGUUCUAUUUUGACUCUAGAUAGAACUAUUGUACUUUACAUUUUUUAUUAUCUUCGGAUGAUAAUUUUAGUACAAUAAUUAAUUGUUUAUAUAAUGUAUAUUUUGGAUUGUCCUAUUUGUAGUAUUUGAUGAUAUUGUAUAAUUUGUAUUUAGAAAAUUAUAAAAACAGGAAAAAAAAUUAUGCUUGAAUUGUGCAUUUGAAAAUACAUAACGAAAAUGACCGUUAUGUAAAUACAAAAAAAAAACGUUAUGUUUAACGACAAUAAAAUAUAUAAAAAUAAAUCUUAUAAUUGAAAAAAUAAGUUUUAUAACGGUAUAAAGCUGUUAUGUUUGCUAUCAUACGAAAACGGUAAUUAAUCGUUAUGUAAAAUAUAAAAAAUCGUUAUGUAUAGUUACAAUACAUAACGGAAAAAAUACAUUUUAUAACAGAUUUUACCGUUAUUUAUUACAUUCAUACACAACGGUAUUCCAUGUGUUAUGUAUCCUCAUAGUACCGUUAUGUAUAUAUAGUAUAGAUAACGGUAUAUUACCGUUAUGUAUGAGCGCCCUUAUACAUAACACCACUAUAUACAAUGCUUUUUUUUGGUACAUAGAUAACGAAAAAUUACCCUUAUGUAUGAGCGUUUUUUUUAGUAGUGAAUUCCACAUGAAAUUUUUUCAUCUGCCAUAAAGUUUAAAGAAGUGUUUCCAAGAUACCAAGACAGAGAGUCGCGGUAUACUUGUUUUCCAAGCAAUGAAGACUGGGUGAUGAUUGAAAAGGUGUGUACCAUAUUACAAGUAUUUGAUUCAGCCACUCGUAUCAUAUCUGGGAGUGAGUAUCCAACAUCAAAUAUGUUUCUUAAUGAAGUUUAUCGAAUCAAAGUGUUGUUGGAUAAGAUGAUUCGAUAAACUUCAUGGGGAUGAAACUGAAGAACCCUUUAUUCAUGACAUGGUUGGAGCUAUAAAGAGUAAAUUUGACAAAUAUUGGAGAGAGUGCAACUUGUUGAUGGCUAUUGCUGCUAUUUUAGAUCCGAGGUGUAAGAUGACAUUGAGUAUCGUUUUUCCAAAAUUUAUUCCAAAGAAGAAGCUCGUGAAAAUAUUAAGAAAGUCAGGGAUUCAUUAUGUGAGUUGUAUGAUAAAUAUGUGGCGGACAUGUAUCAUGAUAUUUCUAGACAUAGUGAGCAAAUCAUUGACAACACCAAUCACAGGAGUGGUGGAGUUCAAGAAGCUUCGGGCUGGUCCGAGUUCAUUAAACAUGUGAAAUCUGCUCAAACUAGUAAGCCACAACAAUCAGAGUUGAGCAAUUACUUAGAAGAUGGAUGUCAUAUUUGUGAAGACAUCUCAACUCCAUUUAAUGCAUUAGAUUGGUUGAGAACGAGUGUCUUGAAGUAUCGAAUAUUAUCUAAAAUGGCUCGUAAUAUAGUAGUUAUUCUCAUCUCAGCAGAAGCUACUUUUAGCGCAAGGGGGUCGAGUUAUUGAUGCGUAUCGAGCCUCAUUGAAUGCCGAUACAGUGCCAACAUUGAUUUGUGGAGGAGAUUGGUGUCGUAGUCUUCAUGGUGUGAAGAGAAAGAACAAAGUAAGUUAUGUUCUUACUGUUUUAUGGUUUCUUAAUUUUAUUUUAACUUAAAUUGAUUAUCUUAUCUUGUAUUAUAGAGUUAGAAGAAACCUUUGGAGAUUAUG
rnacentral:lncRNA from 1 species